ACGACCUUACUUGAACAGGAUCUGUUCUAUAGGCUCGUACCUCUGUAUUCUUGAUUCCUAAGAAGACAGAAACCCAUGUCUGGUUGAUGAACCAGGACCAUGUAACCAGAGCGUGAUUAACAGAGCCCAUGGUCCUGACCAUGGCUCAGUAGAGGAUCAUUGUCAGACA
rnacentral:scaRNA from 1 species